ensembl:lncRNA
AUUGCAGAUAUGUUUUGGCUUGACGCGUUUCUGUAUUUUCCGGGUUGAACCAACAUGUAUAGAACCAACGGUACGACACACCUGGUUGACUGGUGAUAACAGAGACUUACGACGUUGAUCCGAAAGGAUUUUGUGAAUCUAUUAAAGCAAACUCAUAUUUUGGCAACACAAAUCAGAUAUCAUGUAUGGUACUUUAACGACCAUACUGGUCGUGGUGCUGAACGACAUGUGAUGGACAUCUGAAUCUCUUGAUCUUUUAUGGAAUUAAAGACCUUGUAUGUUGUUGGAGUUGGAUACAUAGAUAUGUCAGAGCAGCCCCAAUCUACCUGCAAGUCACUACUCCACCCACCUCCCUCACCCACACAGGUACUGUGUCAAAGUUCCCUCAGGCUGUUAACCUCAACAGACGGACAUUCAAAUGCUCGUUUCUUUUCGUUUUUUUUGGUUUGCAUGUCUGUCCUACAGCUUCUCCAUGGAGACCAGAUUCACGCAGUACUGUGAACACAGAAAGCGACAAACCACCAUGUUGUUCACUAUCAGGGGUCAGAAUAUGGGUUCCCCUCUCUCUCGAACCCGCUGCCAGGGCUCUGGUGCCGCGGUCCGUUGUUGAUGCUUAAGUCUUCUGUUCACUCGCCUCUUGAUCGGUUUGGAUUUUCUGUUCGUUUUUUUAACGGAGGAAUUUCAAUAUUGUUUACACCAAGCAACACUAGCCAUUUAUUGUUGCUUCAGAUCAUAGCAACUGCUUUUAUCCAAAGCGACUAGUGGCUAGAUUGUUAUGGCGCAGGUUGGGGAUAGGGCGUGGUUCUCCAGGAUGCCUAUGGGUCUUCUGUGGACAUUGGGGUUUGAACGCCCCUAAACCACCACAGCCUCUUGUCCCCAUCUAGAGCGUGAGCCUGUAUGAUGACGAGCACCAGACCUCUCUGGGUUCUUGUUUGGAUUUGAGUGCUGAAUCCUGUUCUGACCAGGUGUCGUGCAUUGGAUAGACCUCCAGUGUCUGGUGGUCUCACCCGGUGAUGACAUGCAUCUGGGGGUCCAUUGUGGCCCAUGCACAGCAAACAAUGUAGAUGAAGAUUUCGGAAUAUGAUUAUUUUGGUUUCGUUCUCACCUUAAGGAGGAAAAUAAAAAGCAUUGUUUUGAGUUUUUCCAUGUGUUGUAAGGUAAUAAUGCAGCCCAAAACAAUGUAACGAUAUGUUUGAUUCAUUGUGGUUUAAAUUUGGAAUCCACUCUAGACUCGAUGCUACAGGAAGUGCUUACCACUUCCUGUGUGCUGGGUCGUCCUGCCAUGGUUGGUUUUCUUGUGACUGCUUCAGUGGGUGUUUAUGCCAACACCUUAAAUUAUGUUUACUGUUAUGAUAUGAGGAUGUCUUUAGACAUUCGCAAACA